rnacentral:rRNA from 1 species
GAUGAACGCUGGCGGCGUGCCUAAUACAUGCAAGUCGAGCGAACGGACGAGAAGCUUGCUUCUCUGAUGUUAGCGGCGGACGGGUGAGUAACACGUGGAUAACCUACCUAUAAGACUGGGAUAACUUCGGGAAACCGUAGCUAAUACCGGAUAAUAUUUUGAACCGCAUGGUUCAAAAGUGAAAGACGGUCUUGCUGUCACUUAUAGCUGGAUCCGCGCUGCAUUAGCUAGUUGGUAAGGUAACGGCUUACCAAGGCAACGAUGCAUAGCCGACCUGAGAGGGUGAUCGGCCACACUGGAACUGAGACACGGUCCAGACUCCUACGGGAGGCAGCAGUAGGGAAUCUUCCGAAAUGGGCGAAAGCCUGACGGAGCAACGCCGCGUGAGUGAUGAAGGUCUUCGGAUCGUAAAACUCUGUUAUUAGGGAAGAACAUAUGUGUAAGUAACUGUGCACAUCUUGACGGUACCUAAUCAGAAAGCCACGGCUAACUACGUG